UUGGAUGAAUUUAGACUUUUAAAGUCAGAA
rnacentral:piRNA from 1 species